UAAACGAUGAGUGCUAAGUGUUGGAGGUUUCCCCUUCAGUGCUGCAGCUAACGCAUUAAGCACUCCGCUGGGGAGUACGACCGCAAGGUUGAAACUCAAAGGAAUUGACGGGGGCCCGCACAAGCAGUGGAGCAUGUGGUUUAAUUCGAGGCAACGCGAAGAACCUUACCAGGUCUUGACAUCCUUUGACCACUCUAGAGAUAGAGCUUUCCCUUCGGGGACAAAGUGACAGGUGGUGCAUGGUUGUCGUCAGCUCGUGUCGUGAGAUGUUGGGUUAAGUCCCGCAACGAGCGCAACCCUUAUUGUUAGUUGCCAUCAUUCAGUUGGGCACUCUAGCGAGACUGCCGGUGACAAACCGGAGGAAGGUGGGGAUGACGUCAAAUCAUCAUGCCCCUUAUGACCUGGGCUACACACGUGCUACAAUGGGAAGUACAACGAGUCGCUAGGCCGCGAGGUCAUGCAAAUCUCUUAAAGCUUCUCUCAGUUCGGAUUGCAGGCUGCAACUCGCCUGCAUGAAGCCGGAAUCGCUAGUAAUCGCGGAUCAGCACGCCGCGGUGAAUACGUUCCCGGGCCUUGUACACACCGCCCGUCACACCACGAAAGUUUGUAACACCCGAAGUCGGUGAGGUAACCUUUUGGAGCCAGCCGCCUAAGGUGGGAUAGAUGAUUGGGGUGAAGUCGUAACAAGGUAACCAAGGGCGAAUUCUG
rnacentral:rRNA from 1 species